AACCUAGCACACCUGCGGUGUGUACCUGCGGAAGGAUCAUUACCGAGUUUACAACUCCCAAACCCCUGUGAACAUACCUAUACGUUGCCUCGGCGGAUCAGCCCGCGCCCUGUAAAAAGGGACGGCCCGCCCGAGGACCCUAAACUCUGUUUUUAGUGGAACUUCUGAGUAAAACAAACAAAUAAAUCAAAACUUUUAGCAACGGAUCU
rnacentral:misc_RNA from 1 species